GGAAUUUUCCGCAAUGGGCGAAAGCCUGACGGAGCAACGCCGCGUGAGGGAUGAAGGCCUCUGGGCUGUAAACCUCUUUUAUCAAGGAAGAAGAUCUGACGGUACUUGAUGAAUAAGCCACGGCUAAUUCCGUGCCAGCAGCCGCGGUAAUACGGGAGUGGCAAGCGUUAUCCGGAAUUAUUGGGCGUAAAGCGUCCGCAGGCGGUCUGUCAAGUCUGCUGUUAAAGCGUGGAGCUUAACUCCAUUUCGGCAGUGGAAACUGACAGACUAGAGUGUGGUAGGGGCAGAGGGAAUUCCCGGUGUAGCGGUGAAAUGCGUAGAUAUCGGGAAGAACACCAGUGGCGAAGGCGCUCUGCUGGGCCAUAACUGACGCUCAUGGACGAAAGCCAGGGGAGCGAAAGGGAUUAGAUACCCCAGUAGUC
rnacentral:rRNA from 2 species